rnacentral:rRNA from 1 species
UACGUAGGGACCAAGCGUUGUUCGGAUUUACUGGGCGUAAAGGGCGCGUAGGCGGCUUAACAAGUCACUUGUGAAAUCUCCGGGCUUAACUCGGAACGGCCAAGUGAAACUGUCAAGCUAGAGUGCAGAAGGGGCAAUCGGAAUUCUUGGUGUAGCGGUGAAAUGCGUAGAUAUGUGGAGGAAUACCGAUGGCGAAGGCAGCCCCCUGGGAUAACACUGACGCUCAUGCACGAAAGCGUGGGGAGCAAACAGG